UUCCGGUUGAUCCUGCCGGACCUGACUGCUAUCGGAUUGAUACUAAGCCAUGCGAGUCAUUGUAGCAAUACAAGGCAGACGGCUCAGUAACGCGUAGUCAACCUAACCUAUGGACGGGAAUAACCUCGGGAAACUGAGAAUAAUGCCCGAUAGAACACCAUACCUGGAAUGGUUUGUGUUCCAAAUGAUUUAUCGCCGUAGGAUGGGACUGCGGCCUAUCAGUUUGUUGGUGAGGUAAUGGCCCACCAAGACUAUUACAGGUACGGGCUCUGAGAGGAGUAGCCCGGAGAUGGGUACUGAGACACGGACCCAGGCCCUAUGGGGCGCAGCAGGCGAGAAAACUUUGCAAUGUGCGAAAGCACGACUAGGUUAAUCCGAGUGGUUUCUGCUAAAGGAACCUUUUGUUAGUCCUAGAAACACUAACGAAUAAGGGG
rnacentral:rRNA from 1 species